GGGCGUAUUAUUAAUUUUUUUUUUUAAUUUUGUCCCAUUGGCUCAGUUGUCAGCGCAAGGCUCUUAACCUUGUGGUCAUGGUGGCAAGCCCCAUAGUGGGUGUAUUAUUAAACAUUUUUCCAAUUUUGUCCCAUUCAGUUUUCCACCUAUGGCGCAUGGACUCGUAAGCGCAGUGAAAUUCAGAUUUUCAGAGAAAUACCUUUUUCAAUGCUGUUGCUGGCUGGGAGCCCCUGACCUUGAUAAGACUAACAAAACUCAUGCAAAGCCAUCAACUAAGCCAUUCCCAAGGCGGCACUCUUUUGUUUUACUAGUCUCAUCAGAAUAAGAGGCUCCCGGCCAGUAGUGGUAUCAGAGCUUGGUUAGCGUGAGUCCGCCGUAACACCCCUAUUUGCAUAGUCUGGUAUAUUUCACUGUUUCGAUGAUCAGUGUCGGUCCAGAUAAUUAAGGAGAUUAGAACCACACUUAAGACAACUAGAUAAGCCAUAAACACAAAUAAUUAGUAAUUGUCAAUUAGUUAAAUAUAAAUAAGAAAACAGAACAUAAGAAGUUAAACGAGCCGAGAGUCACAGCGAUGGGUGACCUUCUCGGGAAGGACUGCGAAGUCAUUUUAAACUCAAAUUUCGAACCGUAAAAUGUGACGCUGCGGUCCAUAGGACUAUUACGAACAUAGUGAAAAAGAGAAAAUCAAGAAAAAGAAUUGUUAAGUCAGUCAAAUAAUUAGGUCAGGGAGCCAGAAGAAAUAUUGAAUUAUUUGCAAACUGGGUUGAACCGGCGAGGGGCAAUUUGGUCAAUUGACCCCGAGAGCUGACUCCUGACCUAACUGUCAAAUAAAAUUAGAGAAAAGAAAAUUUUGAAAUAUAUAAUUAAAUUGAAGAAGUUAUGGAAAAACAAAAAGAAAAGAAAACAAAUUUAAUGAAAGAUUAAUGACAUCACAUAGAUGACAUCAUGCAUACCUCAUAAAUAUUUUCCUAUUUAAGUUAUUUUUGACUAAGUCAAAAAAGAGAGAAAUAAACAUAAAAUUAAAAACAAAGUGGUCAUCUUCUUCUUCCAAAUUGCCGUUCACCUCUUUUCUCUCUCUCUUCACUCUAAUUCCUCCAUUUGAGCUCAAAUUCAAGCUUUAGUAACUCUCAAAUUUCCCAAUAAAUCAUUUCUAAAAUGUGUAGAAACCUUUAGAUUGAACCUCAACAAGAAGUUGGGAGGAAGAAAAUUGAAGAAAAGUGAAGGAAAAUCAAGCUUGGCAAUUCAAGAAAAUUUGACAAGUGAGUUGAAAAGAACACCGGGAAAAAACCCGAAGAAUCGAGUCAAGGCCAAGAGGCGACUCGCUUGAGAUAUAGAGACUAGAGGAGCAGCAGAUUGAGCUGCUCAGGACAGGGGAGCUACUUACCUUGAAGCUAUCGGGUAUAAUUUAUACCCUGACUGUAAAUAUUCAUUUUGAUGAAUGUAUUGCAUGUAAUUGUAUAGAAAUGUAAAUUCGGUCUUGAGCAGCUUGUACAAAGCUUAUAUUAAGUUUGUAAUAAAUUUUAGUUUGAAUUUCUCUCAAUGUAAAUUUUUGCAAUGAUGUAUAUAAAUUAUUUUGUCAUUAAUGAAACAUGAAUGGUAGUAUUUUGUUUUGAAUUAAAUGAAGUUCAUUAAUGGAA